rnacentral:rRNA from 1 species
UACGGAGGGUGCAAGCGUUGUCCGGAAUCAUUGGGCGUAAAGAGUUCGUAGGUGGUUUGGUAAGUCAGAUGUUAAAGGCAUAGGCUCAACUUAUGUAAGGCAUUUGAUACCGCCGGACUUGAAUGCGGUAGAGGUAAAGGGAAUUCCCGGUGUAGCGGUGAAAUGCGUAGAUAUCGGGAGGAACAUCGGAGGCGUAAGCGCUUUACUGGGCCGUAAUUGACACUGAGGAACGAAAGACGGGGUAGCAAAU